UCAGUAUUUUCUUUCUCUUGGUUUACAAACUCAUUGAAUUAGUUUUGAUAUUCUCGGUGUCGACAACAUCCGUUGAAAGAGUUUUUUCAACAAUGAAGAUUGUCAAGUCUAAAUUGCGCAAUAAGAUCAACGACGCGUGGUUCAAUGACUUAAUGGUAUGUUACACUGAGCGGGAAAUAUUCAAGUCACUUGAUGAUAUUGAUAUUAUUUGAACAUUCACCGAAAAGAAGUCUCAGAAAGAACAUUUGUCUCGUGAUUUUAUUUAACACCCUAUUGCUUUAUAACUUUUCUGGCUUCGCCACUGCCCCUACUGUGUAGACUGCCCAAGCAUUGUAGAGGAUUUCUUACGUGCACUCCAAGACUGCAUGCACCAAUGCAAAACCAGCGUGGUUAGCGCUUGCUAGUAAGCAAUUCUGGAAUCUCUUCUUCAGCUUGUAAUUAUUGGAACCGGUCUUGAUGGGACAAAAUAAAAUCACUUUUUUGAUUGAUUCACGGUUCUCGUUGCUCACUAUUCACUCGAGUGAUUCAAUCACUCUUUGGUUGCAAGACAAUUCGUUCGCACAAUGAUUUGACAAGAAAAGAAAUCUUUAAAAUAGAAUGGGGAAGAAAAUAGAAAUUAGAUUUUGGGAGAGAGAGGAAGAAGAAGGAUUAGAAAAUUUGCAGAAUUCCUCUUUGUUUUUAAUUCUCAACUGUAAAUUUCUCUAUUCUUCAUUUACAAUUGGAGGGCACCUCCCUAUUUAUAA